rnacentral:rRNA from 1 species
ACGCUCGACACCUACGGGGGGCAGCAGUGGGGGAAUAUUGCACAAUGGGGGAAACCCGUGAUGCAGCGACGCUGCGUGAAGGAAGAAGUAUCUCGGUAUGUAAACUUCUAUCAGCAGGGAAGAAAGUGACGGUACCUGACUAAGAAGCCCCGGCUAACUACGUGCCAGCAGCAGCGGUAAUCUGAGGCGGGCUGGCAAGGC